rnacentral:rRNA from 1 species
UGCCAGCCGCCGCGGUAAUACGGAGGGUGCAAGCGUUGCUCGGAAUCACUGGGCGUAAAGAGAGUGUAGGCGGCCUUAUAUGUCUGACGUGAAAGCCCCGGGCUCACCCCGGGAAGUGCGUUGGAAACUGUGAGGCUAGAGUCUCGGAGAGGGAGGUGGAAUUCCAGGUGUAGCGGUGAAAUGCGUAGAUAUCAGGAGGAACACCGAUGGCGAAGGCAUCUCUCUGGGCCGAUAUUGACGCUGAGUCGCGAAGGCGUGGGUAGCGAACGGGAUUAGAUA